rnacentral:rRNA from 1 species
CUACGGGACGCUGCAGUGAGGAAUUUUGCGCAAUGGGGGAAACCCUGACGCAGCAACGCCGCGUGAGUGAAGAAGGCUUUCGGGUCGUAAAGCUCUGUCAGAUAGGAAAAAAGUUCAUAUGUAAAUAGCUUAUGAAUCUGAUGGUACUAUCAGAGGAAGCACCGGCUAACUCCGUGCCAGCAGCCGCGGUAAUACGGAGGGUGCAAGCGUUGUUCGGAAUUACUGGGCGUAAAGGGCGUGUAGGCGGUAUGGUAAGUCAGAUGUGAAAGCCCUGGGCUUAACUCAGGAAGUGCAUUUGAUACUGCCAUCCUUGAGUAUGGGAGAGGAGAGUAGAAUUCCCAGUGUAGAGGUGAAAUUCGUAGAUAUUGGGAGGAAUACCCGUGGCGAAGGCGACUCUCUGGACCAAUACUGACGCUGAGACGCGAAAGCGUGGGGAGCAAACAGGAUUAGAUACCCGCGUAGUC